GACGAACGCUGGCGGCGUGCCUAAUACAUGCAAGUCGAACGAACAGACGAGGAGCUUGCUCCUCUGACGUUAUCGGCGGACGGGUGAGUAACACGUGGAUACCCUACCUCUAAGACUGGGAUAACUUCGGGGGACCGGAGCUCAUAUCGGAUAACAUGUUUAACCGCGUGAUUCAACAGAGAAAGACGGUCUUGCUGUCACUUAUAGUUGGACCCGCGUCGCAUUAGCUAGUUGGUGAGGUAACUGGCCACCAAGGCGACGAUAAGUAGCCGGGCUGAGAGGGUGAACGGCCACAUUGGGACUGAGACACGGCCCAGACUCCUACGGGAGGCAGCAGUGGGGAAUCUUCCGCAAUGGACGAAAGUCUGACGGAGCAACGCCGCGUGAGCGAUGACGGGCUUCGGGUUGUAAAGCUCUGUUUAUCGGGACGAAAGGACUUCUUGCGAAUAGUGAGAAGGAUUGACGGUACCGGAAUAGAAAGCCACGGCUAACUACGUG
rnacentral:rRNA from 1 species